ensembl:lncRNA
AAAUUUGCGAUAAGGGUAUGAUGUUUCCUUUUUCUCAUUGACCUUUAAUCUUAUUUAAGGGGAAAGAAAGAUAUAAUUCUUGUUCUUUGGCCAUUCUGGGGGUGAAUUCAUCAGGAUUCCCUUCAGUCAACUUAACAGCAAGUAACACCUGCAGUGGCAAUGAAUGGCCUAUAUAUGUUAAUUAUGGAGUAAUAUUUCACAACAGAGUAUUUCUAUCUCCUUGGAGACAGACCUAGCUGCAGAAUUGUCACAGUCUCACUGAUUUCCCUCUCAAGCUGCAGUUGUCCCAUGGACUAUAAAUUUUUGUGUCUUCACUUUUGCAGCUUUAAGAUGUUCCUCUCACAAGAGGAAGAAGUUUAAUCUCCAGGAAUUUCACCUGACAGCCACAACUUUUUG